CAGAAUCAGGUCACCUAUGCAGAUCCAUACCUCUGAGGAUGAUUUUCUUCCAUGAAGUAGCUGAGCUGGGGGAGUCUAGGCAGCUUCCAAGCUUGGGAUGGAGACAUAUGUGCUUGCUUCCUCCAGGACCUCAACCUUGCCAGGCGUGGUGGAAUAUGCCUAUAAUUCCAGCAAUCUGGGAAGCUGCAGCAGGAGGAUCACAAGUUCAAAGCCAGCCUUGGCAACUUAUUGAGGCCUUAAGCAACUUAGCAAGACCCUGUCUCAAAAUGAAAAAUAAAACGGGCUGGGGAUGUUGUUCAGUGGUUGAGCAAGCACCCCUGUACUGGAAAAAAAAAGGAAAAGAAAAAUAAAAAUGUUACACAGCCUGUUAAUCAGCCUUUCAUCAUUGUGACCAAAUUAUGUGAUUUAUUUUGGCUCAUAAUUUUAGUCCACGGUUGGAUGGUGUCAAAGCAGAAACCUGACAGAGGAAAGCUGCUCAGCAUUUGGUAACCAUGAAGGAGAGAGAGAGAGAGAGAGAGAGAGAGAGAGAGAGAGAGAGAGA